UUGCUUUCUCGAGCGAGUGGCGAACGGGUGAGUAACGCGUGAGGAACCUGCCUCAAAGAGGGGGACAACAGUUGGAAACGACUGCUAAUACCGCAUAAGCCCACGGCUCGGCAUCGAGCAGAGGGAAAAGGAGCAAUCCGCUUUGAGAUGGCCUCGCGUCCGAUUAGCUAGUUGGCAGGGCAGCGGCCCACCAAGGCGACGAUCAGUAGCCGGUCUGAGAGGAUGAACGGCCACAUUGGGACUGAGAUACGGCCCAGACUCC
rnacentral:rRNA from 1 species